UGGGGAAUAUUGCGCAAUGGGGGAAACCCUGACGCAGCAACGCCGCGUGAAGGAAGAAGGUUUUCGGAUUGUAAACUUCUUUUGUUGAGGACGAAAAAUGACGGUACUCAACGAAUAAGCCACGGCUAACUACGUGCCAGCAGCCGCGGUAAUACGUAGGUGGCAAGCGUUGUCCGGAUUUACUGGGUGUAAAGGGCGAGUAGGCGGGAACAUAAGUCAGAUGUGAAAUCUGGGGGCUCAACCCCCAAACUGCAUUUGAAACUAUGUUUCUUGAGUGAUGGAGAGGCAGGCGGAAUUCCCGGUGUAGCGGUGGAAUGCGUAGAUAUCGGGAGGAACACCAGUGGCGAAGGCGGCCUGCUGGACAUUAACUGACGCUGAGGAGCGAAAGCGUGGGGAGCAAACA
rnacentral:rRNA from 1 species